GGCUAUUCAGAAAUCUGACUUUGGAAGGGAAGAAGCUAUUGCUGAAUCAUUGAGUGUGUGCCUUCAGGUUCCUGUACAUCCUGAUGAGAGGAGGACAUGUUCUGGGUGAUGGGGGGCCUUAAUAACAGAUGCCAGCUUCCUGACGCAUCACCUUUUGAAGAUGUCCUCAGUGGUAGGGAGGCCCUUGAUGGAGCUGACCAAGUUUGCAAGUUUCUGCAGCUUUUUUCUGAUCCUGCACAUACCAGACAGAAUGUUAUCCAUGGUACAUCUAUAGAAAUUCGCAAAUCUGUGGUGAUAUUCUCAGCGUCCUCAAAUUCCUAAUGAAGUAGAGUGUGCUUCCUCACAAUUGGAAUUGGAGUUGGUCCCAAUUGGGCCCAAGGUAGGUCCUCCGAGAGUCAUGAACCCUCCCGACCAGCGAGGGGCGCCAGAGAGCGCCAGGUCUCGACGCACCUAAACUUACUUGCGUUCUUUUAUGAUUACUUUCAUCAUUAAGUUGUCAGUGUUUUUCGUGACGUUCUUUAUGUGAAAGUGGUUUUCGUAUACUUCGCGUUCUUAAGUGAUUAGUUUUUGAUUUCGGCCUGCACGGGUUGCCCGAGUUCUAGUUAAGGUUAUUCUGGACUGGGACUUAUUACUGAGUCCUGUGUACGCAAAUCUCGAGCAAGUUGAGCUCUUGGUUUGAUUAUUCUCUGUAUUAUUCUUUGAAUAAAUCUUCAUCGUUAAUUUCUGCUAUCCGAUUCCGAGUUUGAGUCCACUCAUCGGGAGAUCGUGAUGUUGUCAACCCAGGCAUCCCGACCCUGGGGUCUCUCAUAGGCCGCCAGGGACUUGGAUGGACAACCUACAAGUGGUGGUCAUCUUCCACAGGAUGGCUGCUGCUGGUGAUGUAACCAAAGACUUGCAAAUUUCUACCGAUGUACCAUGGAGAGCAGUUUAACUGGCUGCAUCACCGUCUGGCGUGGAGGGGCCACGGCACAGGAUCAGAAAGAGCCGCUGGGAGUUGUAAACUCAGCCUGUUCCAUCACGGGCACCAACUUCCCCAUCACCAAGGACGUCUUCAAGAGGCCAUGCCUCAAGAAGGCAUCAUCACGUGGGACAUGUCCUCUUCUCAUCGCUACCAUCAGGGAGGAGGUGCAGGAAUCUGAAGUCACACACACGAUGAUUCAGGAACAGCUUCUUCCCCUCUGCCAUCAGAUUUCUGAAUGGACACUGAACCCAUGAACACUAUCUCACUAUCUUUGCUCUCUUUUUGUGUUAUCUGUCUAUCUCUCUAAGUUAUACAUAUUUUGGGAUUUAUGGCCAUUUUUAGUAUAUUGCACUGUACAAGUUUCACGGCACACCGUAUCUCAGUGAUUGUGAGUGUGAGAAGGGCAGGAAGGGUCUGGAGUGAGCUGGCCCGUCAGGUACCUUGUGUAGAGGGACAUAGGGAAGGGUUGCUUCAUUGCCCUGCUUGACGCGCUCUCCUCCGAACACCACGUUGACGGUGCUGGUGUAGACCAGACGUGGGACACUGCGACGAAGGCACACUGCGGAUAUAGAGAGGAGGACGGUGAUGUCACGGUCAGACCGCAGUCACACGCGGGCUCUUGUCAAUUGUACGUGGACGCGGGCAGCACGAAUAGCGUAGUGGUUAGCGAAAUGUUUAACAGCACCAGCGACCCGGCUUCAAUUCACACCGCUGUCUGUAAGGAGUUAAUACGUUCUCCCUGUAACCACGUGGGGUUUCCCUGGAUACUCUGGUUUCCUCUCACGUUCCAGAGACGUAUGCGUCAGGAGGCUUGUUGGUCACGUGGGUGUAAUUGGGCGGUGUGAGCUCGUUGGGCCGGUAGAGACAGCGAUUUCUUAACUUCCUUUUCACUUACGAUGAAGGUGAGGCCUCACUCUGAAACACUUAAAUCCCAAUGGAUAGGUUUCCAAAGGAAAAUUCAUUGCCGGAGAUCCAGAGUAUCACACAGAGGACGGGGAGGUGCUCAGCAGGUUGGGCAGCACUGAUGGAAAUGAAUAAACAGCCCACAAGAUGAUGUUUCCUGUUGACGGUUCUCAGCCUGAAACAUCGACUAUUUAUUCCUCUCCAUGUGAAGUGGCUUCAGGAGGGAUAUCAGCUGCACAGAGGAUGGACCGAGUGGCCUCCUCCCACUCUUGCUCCUUGAGAGACUGAUGUUUGCUAGGGUACCACUGAACCCCAGUAAUUCUUCUCAGCUCUUCAUCCUGUACAAAGGCUCUCCUUAAAGCUCAUCUCUUUGUAACAGUAAGAGCCUCGUGCCUUUGGACAGUGAAGGUGCUACAUAAACACAGGCUUUGCCGACGGAUCGUCUCCUCACCUUCAAUGACAUUUCUGGUGCUGCCAAUGUUUACGGACAGUCUGUUCUUUGUGAAGCUGUAAGGAUGGAAAUUCGCAGCAGAUAAAAUACAAAAGGGGAGGUGUUCAGAAUGUGCAAUUUAACCCUGACCUGUCCAGUAGACUCUGGGAUUUACAAUGAUUCACAGUGCUGGGGGUUCAAAGGUGAACUGCACUUUUGUGCCUGUUAGAGUCAAUAAACAGAAAGCAAUUAGUCCGUCCAUUUCAGGACAGUGCCCAUCCAUUACGUGUCAGCUAGUGCCUCCAUUCAGUGACCCUCAUUACAGGUCAAUCAGUCGCUCUAUUACAGGUCAGUCAGUCCCCCUCCAUUACAGGUCAGUCAGUCCCUCUCCAUUACAGGUCAGUCAGACCCCCUCCAUUACAGGUCAGUCAGACCCCCUCCAUUACAGGUCAGUCAGACCCCCUCCAUUACAGGUCAGUCAGACCCCCUCCAUUACAGGUCAGUCAGUCCCCCUCCAUUACAGGUCAGUCAGUCCCCCUCCAUUACAGGUCAGUCAGUCCCCCUCCAUUACAGGUCAGUCAGACCCCCUCCAUUACAGGUCAGUCAGACCCCCUCCAUUACAGGUCAGUCAGACCCCCUCCAUUACAGGUCAAUCAAUGUCUGCAUCAACAGAAAUACCUGUCUGACCCCCAUGUCCUGUUUUCCCCCAGCUACACAAUCCUGGACAAGGCUGCUAUCCUGACCUUCCCAUUUCUCUCCUCUCGCCCCUCCUUGCCUCCCUCCUUCCUUCCUGUCACGUCUCCCCGACCCCCAGACACAACACCUGAUCCCUGCCCUCUCCAUUUUCCCAACGAUUACAAGCAAAUUAAGAAAUGGGUGAGGGUCAGACUAUACCGAGGCUGCACGAAAAAUUCCUCUUUAUUUAUUAAAAGGGUAUUUUCCAGACUGUGCUGUCACUAUCAGUGUGGUUGUGGGAAAGGGCAGGUAGCUCAGACGCCGAGGGGGUGUUCAGAUUUCGCCAGACAGGCUAACUUAGGAGCAGCUUCUGCACAGGUCUACGGGAGGGAGGGAGAGGAGGAAGGGGUGAGAGGGAGGGGAGGCAGAGGGAUGGAGGGGAGGAGGUAGGAAAGCUAGGAAAGGUACAUGGAGGGCUGUGGACUGCAUACAGGUCGAUGGGACUAGGCAGAAUAACAGUUCAGCCUGGACUAGAUGGGCUGAAGGGCCUGUUUGUGUGCUGUAGUGCUCUGACUACAAAAGGGGAGAAAGGGGGAGCAGAACGGAGGAGAGGAACAGUAGGGAAGAGAGGAGUAGAGAGAGGUAGAGAAUGCAGAGGGAGGGAGGGUUUCCUGUUCACCGGCCUGGUUUAAUGCCUUAACAGAUUUCACCUCAGAAUAGAUACGGCGACACCAAGAGAUGAUGAGUGGUUCCACUCACCUGCUCCGUACCCGACAUCCCGUACGAGGCAGCGUGGUACACACAGUCCACUCCCUCACUCGCCUCAUAGAGCUCCUGGUAAUCCCUGAUGUCGGCCUGCAAGGAGGCAGUAAAAGAGCCCGUCAGACCCUCUGCUCCUCCGGCCCAGAGUCCACCUCCGGAACUGGGCCAGAUAACUUACGGUGGUGGGGUCCUGGGCCAGAUUACUCGGGGGUUUCGAGGGUCAGAUAGUUUGGGGGUGGGGGGUCGAGAGCUGGAUAACUCAGGGAGAGUCAGUGCAGGCACAUCCCAGAUUCCACCCAUCUAACAGGAUUCACCUGACACUUGUUUCAAACUCAUCACCUGCAGCCUAUUUAAACCCUCUCCCCCACCCCCCAUUCUCAUCUACAGUUCUGUUAUGUUCACUCAGCAUCAACCAGUCACUCCUCGCCUUCGCUCUCCCUGCUGAAAGUCUACCUUGUUCUGUUUAGUUUCUGUUUGCUCUUGUUUUGUGGCCCCUCGUGGCCUGUUAUUUUGCUACCUAUUAUUAAAGUUAUUGCUGCACUGAAUCACCUCCGAUGCUCUGCUUUUGGGAAGCGGAUAACGCGGCUCUGGAGAGCAAACCAGUUUCCCAUCAGAGAUUGCCGGUGCCCGUGUGGGAACCCAGUUACUGAGUGACUGGAUCAGCUACAGGGAGAGUCAAAUUAUGGAGGGGCCACCAACUCCACAGAGGCACGUGUGACCAGAAGAGAUGGCAGGAAAUCUCCGCCACAGGUGGUCCCAAUCUGGGCUGUCAAAGGAGGAGGGUUGAACACGGGGCUAACAACCCAAUCCCGUAGAUACCCAGAGCUACAGAAACACCAUCAGAAGCUCCAAAGACCUCAUUCCUGGAAGAGCAAGGACCUUCGAUGGGCUACACCGCAAAAGACUGGCCCAGGAGAGAGGACUGGUGUCAGGUACUGGGCCUCAGGAGGGCAAUGGGCUUAAGAAAGAGAAACAGAAUCAGGCCAUUUGGCCCAGCAUCUGCUCCCCAUUCAACCAUGAUGUAUUAUCCCUCUCAAACACAUUCUUCUGCAAUGUUCCCGUACACCCUGUGGGAUCUUGUUGUGCACGUGUCCUGCAUUGGGGUCCAGUCUCUUGCUAUCCGUGCCGAUUGCUUGUAGGGGUAAAGAGACCCCCUGGUACAGUGUACCAUCCACUAAACGGUACCCCACCCCCCACAAACCACCUAGAAGGUCGAGGCCCAGAGCAGGGCAGGCUUUGAGGGGUCACCUCACUGCAACGUAACCCGGAGGGAACACACACAGUGCUGGAGGAACUCAGCAGGUCAAGCAGCAUCAACAGAGGCGAAUAAGCAGUCGACAGUUCCAACUGAGACCCUUCCCCACGAUUGGGACAUCUUAUCUGAAACGUCGAAUGCAACGACUUGGCUAGACGGCACCCAGACAACCAGGGUUCCUCCCUCCCCUCUCGGCGCCCGCUCCUUGCCUGAAUGAAGGAGGCUCUGGCGGGGAGCGCCCAUCUAGGUUCUUGGAUGUCCUGCAGGGCGACAGUGGUUUCCAGUCGCAGUCUGUACCCGAAAUAGCCCGCGCCCUCGCUCCCCCAUUGACCAGGCUCCUGGAGACCUCGGGGCCGGGCAGAACCACUCCUCGACAGCUCCUGGCCAGAUUCACCUUGCAAACCUCCAUGAAUGCUGCCGGGGGGAGGGCAUGUGAGGGUUGCACCCAGUUGAACCGGCUGUGGGGAAAAUCAAAGGUGUAACUAUCGAACAAGAACACCUUCUGACAUCCCUCCCUCAGAUCCAACGCCGAUCUCAGCUUCCCGGUCCCCUAAGUGAGAUGGCCGAUACCAGAGUGCAGCAUUUAAAGAGAGGGGGUAAUUACAGAGGAGAUGUGAGGGCAGGUCUUUACACAGAGUGGUGGGUCCCCAGAAUACGCUGUCUGGGCUGGGUGGGGGCAGAUACGUUUAGAAAGGCAGAUGAAUGUGAAGAUAUGGACAUUGUGUAGACAGAAGAGAUAAAAUUUGGCUAUUUGAUUGCUAAAGUAAUUGUAUGGGCAAAACGUCCUGGACUGAAGGGCCUCUUACUGAGCUGUACUCUUUAAUGUUCUAAAAAGUAACUUUGCUGGGAGUAUCUCAUGUUUUCUUCAUCGUGGCUGAGUCCACAUCAACAGAAUUUACAGGAAGGAUGUGGAAACCACAGAAAGGGUGCAGAGGAGAUUUACAGGGAUGUUGCCUGGAUUGGGGAGCGUGCCUUAUGAAAACAGGUUGAGUGAACUCGGCCUUUUCUCCUUGGAGCGACGGAGGAUGAGAGGUGACCUGAUAGAGGUGUACAAGAUGAUGAGAGGCAUUGAUCGUGUGGAUAGUUGGAGGCUUUUUCCCAGGGCUGAAAUGGUGUGGACACAGGUUUAAGGUGCUGGGGAGUGGGUACAGAGGAGAUGUCAGGGGUAAGUUUUUUACGCAGAGAGUGAUGAGUGUGUGGAAUGGGCUGCCGGCAACGGUGUUGGAGGCGGAUACAACAGGGUCUUUUAAGAGUCUCUUGGAUAGGUACAUGGAGCUUAGAAAAAUAGAGGGCUAUGGGUAAAGCCUAGUAAUUUCUAGGGUAGGGGCAUGUUCGGCACAGCUUUGUGGGCCGAAGGGCCUGUAUUGUGUUGUAGGUUUUCCAUGUUUUUAAAGAGUGUAUCGUCACUAUCCUGUCGGUCAUUUGGGUGUGGCGGUUGUGUCACUUCUGUGGGGCAGACAAAUACAAGAGGUGUCGACGCGGGACAGGGGUUACACUGGAUUGUUUGAACUUUUCCGGUCUCCUUAGUGCAGCAAAGCAUUCUCGAGCUGGUACUGAUCAACGUCUGACACCGAGUCACAGGUCAGGAGGUGGGCGGCCCAGUCCAUCACGGGUAAAGCCCUCCCCAGUACACGGCGUGUUGUCGCAGAAAAGCCUCAUCCAUCAUUCAGACUCACUGCUGCCAUCGGAAAGGAGGUUCAGGAGCCUCAGGACCUUCACCACCAGGUCCAGGAACAGUUAUCACCCCUCCUGAACCAGAGGGGAUAACUUCACCCGCCCCUUCACUGAAAUGUUCCCACAAGGACGCUUUUUCUCAUUUUCUCAAUAUUUAUUGUUUAUUUAUUUAUUUCUAUUUCUUUAUUCUUUUUUGUCGUCGUUGACUUUUGCCUGUCGGUCCUGUCUUUCAUAGAUUCUAUUACAUAUCUUGUAUUUACUGUGAAUGGCCGCAAGAAAUGCAUCUCAGGGUUGUACUUGGAGACAUAUAUGAACUUCAAUAAUAAAUUUACUUUGAACUUCAGAGAGAAAGUCAGAUACAGUCAUAGAGGAGAGAGAGAGAUGACGUGUUCGUACCUUCCCCUCCACCAUCGGAUGUUGGAACGGUUCCCUCCUUGUUCCUCCUGUCACUGGGUUCUGAGAUAGAGAGGCGCGAGAAGGUGGGUAGGGGGAUGGGAAACAGACAGAGGGGGCCGAGAGGGAGGUGGGAUGGAGGAUUCAGAUGCAGAGAAACCCCAAACCUGGGGCCAGCAUCAGGUCGAUGGAGUGAUAGGAUAUGCAUAAGUGAUAGGAGCAAUAGACCAUUCAGCCCAUCAAGUCUGUUCUGCCAUUCCAUUAGGGCUGAUCCAUUUCCCUCUCAACCCCAUUCUGCCUUCUCCCAUUAACCUUUGACCCUGACUAAUCUAAACCUCUCAACCUCCAUUUCAAAUAACCUUGUCUGCACAGCUGAAUUUAACAGAUUCACCACAUCUGACUAAAGAAAUUCCUUCUCAUCCUUGUAUUCUGAUGCUGUGCCCUCUGGUCCUAGACUCCCCCACAAUAGGAAACCUCUUCUCCACAUCUAUAUUGAGGCCUUUCACCAUUUGAAAGGUUUCAAUGAGGUCCCCCCCCCCAACCCAUCCUUCUGAACUCCAGUGAGUACAGACCCAGAGGCAUCGAGUGCUCCUCGCACAGUAACCCUUUCAUUCGGGGUAGAAAUGCUGGGGGAGGGAACCAGAACAGGAGAAUGCGGUCGAGGGGCUUAAUAAGUCUUGUGAUAGAAUGGUGGGCUGAGUGGCCAAACUCUGUUCCACAGAGCCCCCGUGGGCGAGGGGAGGUACAUGGUCACAGAGAGAACGUGUAAUCAGUGAUGGUGCCGGAGGGUGGGAUUGGACGUGGGUUGCUGGAGCCGCGGGGUAGCGGUUAUACCGGCUGAGCCACCAUGACACCCCCUGUCAUAUCGGCCCUUCACCCUGUCACAAUGACUCCUUCAAUACCGGGUCUGGCGGGUGGGAGGGACACUGUUAUCAGCUUUAAAAGGCUGAAUUAUAAACUACCGGAUUAUCAUUUCUAACUUAUUACAAGUUUUGAACGUUCCAGUAUUUCCCAGGGUGCUCCACCAGGCUCAAGGACAGCUGCUGUCCCACUCUGUAAGAGUACUGACCAUUCUGCAGGAGGAAGAGAUGGACUCUUGGCCUCACAAUCUUAAACACAAGAGAUUCUGUAGAUGCUGGAAACCCAGAGCAACAGCUUGAGCUUCUUAUUCUGGCUCCCUCCCCCUUCCUUUCCGGUCCUGAGGGGUCUCAGCCUGAAACGUUGACCGUUGUCCGGUAACGUGGAACGUAAAUGCUGCCUGACCUGUUGAGCUCCUCCAGCAUUUUGUGUGUGUUGCCCUGACCUCACCAUCUCCCUCGUAACGACCCCACACCUUACUGCCUGCCUGCACUGCACUUUCCCUGUAACUGUGACACUUCACUCUGUAGUUUCCACUGCACUGUCCAAAUGAACUGAUCUGCAUGGACAGAAUGCAGGUUUUCACUGUACCGCAGUAAUAAUACAAUUUACCAAAAAGAGUCUGCCAAUAAAAUCAAAUACCUGCAAAUCACAGAAAUCUGAAAUAAAACGAGGCUCACGAGAAUGAUCCUGGGAAUAAAAGGGUUAACUUAUGAAGAGCGUUUGAUGUUUCUGGAGUGUAGAAAAUUGAGGGGGGAUCUCAUUGAAACCUAUCCAAUAUUGAAAGGGCUAGACUGAGUGGAUGUGGAGAGGAUGUUUCCUAUGGUGAGGGAGUGCAGGAUCAAAGUAGAGGGAAGUUCUUUUAGAACAGACAUGAGAUGAGGAAUUUCUUUAGCUGGAGGUGCUGAAUCUGUGGAAUUCAUUUCCACAGACGGCUGUGGAGGCUGUGUCAUUGGGUAUAUUUAAAGCGGAGUUUGACAGGUUCUUGCUUAGUCGGGGUGUUGAAGAUCACGGGGAGAAGUCAGGAGAAUGGGGUUGAGAGGGAUAAUAAAUCAGCCAUGAUGGAAUGGCAGAGCAGACUCAAUGGGCCGAACAUAGAAUAUAGUUACAGGGAAGGGUCAAAUAGGUUAGGACUUUAUUCCCUGGAGUGUAGAUUUGAUAGAGGUAGACAAAGUUAUGAGGGAUAUAGAUAGGGUAAAUGGGAGCAGGCUUUCUCCAUUGAGGUAGCAAACUAGAACUAGAGGUCAUGGGUUAAAGGUGAAAUGUUUAAGUGGGGACUCGAUGGGUGAAAGGGCCUGUUCCUGUGAUGAAAUGCUCUAUGACUCUAAUGGCUUAACUGUUCCCCCAUCUGAAAAUACACUCGAGUUCAGGUUAGGAAGGUUCAACGCUCCAGAGCUCUCCCUCGGUUAUCAUUCAGAGCCCAUGACGUGGUCAGAACCUGGCAUUGAUCACACCUGAGUGAUGGAGAGCCUGCCACUAACAAACACUCUGAUCCCCGAAAUACCCACAGAGCAUCAGGGAGUGGGAAUCCUACCUGGACCAGCCAGGCACCAGUCUUCUCUGCAGUAAAAGGCCUCGGAUUACUCAGGGCAGUUAGAGGCCGGGGGUGAGGUUAAUCAGAACCUCAGUUACAACCUCUUGCUGAAAUGUUUCCUUACGCUGGAGGAGAGGAGGCGAGGCGGCUUAAGAAACCAAUGCUCGGCUGGUGGAGUGUGUCCCUGACAGGUGAGGAUGGGGUGCGGAUGUCACACAAGAUGCUGCUGUUAUUUAAUCCCAUUACACAGGGAUCCAUUUUAAAAGAGGCUUUGCAGGAAUCACCUAACUUGCCCGAUAAUAACUGGCAAGGAGAAAUCCAAACGCGAGAGAUUCUGUACAGAAACCCUUAGGCCCAUCGACAGGGCACUGAAAUAAGCCCUUCAUUAACACCAUAAGAUAUAGUAGAAGUAGGCCAUUUGGCCCAUCGAGUCUGCUUCGCCUUUUCAUCAUAGCUGAUUUAUUAUCCCUCUCAACCCCAAUCUCCUGCUUUCUCCCCGUAUCCCUUCAUUCCCUGACCAAUCAAGAAUCUAUCAACUUCUGCCUUGAUUAUACAUAAAGACUUGGCCUCCACAGCUGUCAGUGGCAAAGAAUUCCACAGAUUCACUACACUCUGGCUAAAGAAAUUCCUCCAUAUCGCUAUUGUAAAAGGACACCCCUCUAUUCUGAGGCUGUGGCCUCUGGUCUUAGACUCCCCCACCUUCUGUCCAUCAAUACGGCACUGAAACAGACCUGUUAGCUGACACAAUGUCCAUAUCCCUCCAUUCUCUGCACAUCCGGGUGCCUGUAGAAAGCCUUCACCAAGACCCAGGAAGCACAUUCCACGCUGCCAGUGCUCUCUGUGCAAGGUCUUGCCUGCACGUAUCGGGGAGAGUUUACUGGCACCCCGGGGGAGAGGUUCAUAAGAUGUAGGAGCAGAUUCUGGCCAUUUGGCCCAUCAUGUCCUCUCUGUCAUUUCAUCAUGGCUGAUCUAUUAUCAAUCCCCCCCCCCCACCCCAACCAUUGCCUUCUCCAGCGUGUGGCCAAACCUCCAGGAAUAGUCAGAGUACUACUGCACAGUAACAGACCAUUUGGCCCAUCUAGUCCACAGCAAUCUAUUAUUUUGCCUAGUCCCAUCGACCUGCACCUGAAUCAUAGCCUUACCCCCCCCCAUCCAUGUACCUAUCCAAACUUCUCUUAAUUGAUCCCACAUCCACCGCCAGCUUGUUCUAUACUCACACUACCCUCUGAGUGAACAGACUCCUCCUCAUGGUCCCCUUAAUAUUUCACCUAUAACCUCUAGUUCUAGUGUCAUCUGACCUGUGGGGGGAAAGCCUGCUUGUGUUCACCCCAUGUUAACUUCUCAUGGUUUUUUAUACAUCUAUCAAAUGCCCCCUUCCAUUCUCCUACACGCCAGGGAAUAAAACCCUCCCUAAUAAGUCCUCAAAUCUUGGCCACAUCCUUGUAAAUUUUCUCUAUACUCUUUGAAUCUUAUUGACAUAUUUCCUAAAGUUAGGUGACCAGAACUGCACACAGUACUCCAAAUUUGGCCUCACAAGCCAACUUCAACAUAACAUCCCAACUAUACUCAGCAUUUUGAUUUAUGAAGACCAAUUAAUAAGUAAUAGGAGCAGAAUUAGGCCAUUCAGCCCAUCGAGCCUGCUCUGCCAUUCCAUCAUGGCUGAUUCUGGAUCCCACUUGUCAAGGGAUUCACCUUCUUCAUCACCAACUCAACCUGGAGGUUAACCUUUAGGAUAUCCUGCACAAGGACUCCCAAGUCCCUUUGCAUCUCUGCAUUUUGAAUUCUCUCCCCAUCUAAAUAAUAGUCUGCCCAUUUAUUUCUUCCACAAAAUUGCAUGACCAUAUGCUUUUCAACAUUGUAUUUCAUUUGUCACUUCUUUGCCCAUUUCCCUAAACUAUUUAAGUCUCCCUGUAGGCUCUCUGUUUCCUCAACACUACCCGCUCCUCCACCUCUCUUUGUAUCAUCAGCAAUGUCAUGAUAAUUGUUGGGGAUUUUAACAUGAAAAUGAUUGGGAAAAUUAGGCCAGUACUGGACCUCAAGAGAGAGAAUUUGUAGAAUGUCUAACGGAUGGCUUUUUGGAACAGCUUGCUGUUGAAUCUACUAGGGGGAUCAGCUGUGCAAUGAUCUGGAGGUGAUAAGAGAGCUUAAGGUUAAGGAACCCUUGGGGAACAGUGAUCACAAUAUGAUCGAGUUAACUUUGAAAUUUGGGAAGGAGAAACUAAAUUCCCUCUGGUCCUAGACACUCCCACUGCAGGAAACAUCCUCUCCACAACUACCCUAUCUAGGCCUUUCAAUAUUCGAUAGGUUUCAAUGACAUUCUUCUAAAUUCCAGUGAGUACAGGCCCAGAGCCAUCAAAUGCUUUUCAUACAUUAACCCUUUCAUUCCCAGGAUCAUUGUCCUGACCCUCUCCGAUGCAAUCACAACUUUCUUAGAUAAGGGCCCACCCCCGUGACCAGCUCCGGAUUGGCUGGUUCCUAGCUGGUUGCCGCUCAGCCCACUGUCCAGCCAGCCAAUCAAUACUCAGUUUUCCCUCUGUACCCUGCACUCAAUGGCCACUGUAUUCAGUAGCUCCUGUUCGUGAUCUUCUGCUGCUGUGGCCCAUCCACUUCCAGGUUUGACGUGUUGUGCAUUCAGAGAUGUUCUUCGGCACACCACUGUUGUAACGUGUGGUUAUUCGAGUUACUGUCACCUUCCUGUCAGCUUGAACCAGUCUGCCCAUUCUCCUCUGAACUCGCCCAUUAACAAGGUGUUUGCACCCACACAACUGCUGCUCACUGGGUGUUUUUUACACCAGUUUCUGUAAACUCUAGAGACUGAUGUGCAUGAAAAUAACAGGAGAUCAACAAUUUCUGAGAUACUCAAACCACCCUGUCUGGCACCAACAAUCAUUCCACAGCCAAAGUCACUUGGAUAACAUUUCAUCCCCAUUCUGGUGUUUGGUCUGAACAGCAAAUGAAUCUCUUGACCAUGUCUGUGUGCUUUUACGUACUGAGCUGCUGCCACAAGAUUGGCUGAUUAGAUAUUUGCAUUAACGAGUAGGUGUACCUAAUAAAGUGGCCACUGAGUAUAUAUGGGAAGAUGUUUGAGCCACGUGAUUAUUGCUGAGGGAAACACUGACAGAGACAGUUUACAUCUAAAUUAUCUUGCUGCAUCUUGAACUGUUGCUUGAAUUUCCAGCAUCUGCAGAUUUCCCCGUGUUUGCAGCAUCUUCGUUGGUUUUCAAACACAUAUCAUAUACAAAUAACUUGUAAAGAGUGAAAGACACUGGUGUAAAUUAUCUACACAAUUCUUGGUAAGGAAAAAACGCUCCGAAAACCACCUGGGAAAAUAUUUGAUGAAUAUACUGCUGGUGGCUGGUAAAAAGGCCCUUACCAGGAAAUGGUUAUCAAAGGAGAGCCCAACUUUAAAUACGUGGAUGGAAAUUACAAUGGACAUUUACAAAAUGAAGACGAUAACAGCAUCUGUUAAUCAUAAGUUGGAACAAUUUGAUUCAUACUGGGAAAAACACCUCAUAGGCCUGAUUUUAUUCUCACAAAUCAAUGAAUAUGUUGUAAAAAAAAGAUCACUCCCUACUUUGUACGUAGUUUUCUUAAUUCGAUUGUCCUUUCUCUCCUCUCCUUUCUAUAAGUGUAUACCUCAGAUAAUUAUUAUGUGGAGAUUUGUGACAAAAUGGCUAUAUGAUAUGUACAAUGUCUGAAAUACAUCUUAUGGAAAUGUCUGUUUGAUGAUGAAAUUCAAUAAAAAAUAAAUUACCAAAAAAACCCCACCUGGAAACCUAUUACAGACCCUUGAUAUGCUCAGCAUUGCUUUUUGAGGGAGUGUUAGAUCCAGUGGGUAAGCAUGCCCAAGAGAAAGGACUGAACUUGACAUUCAGGGACUAGAGACAAUUGAGUGAUGAACGAGGUGCGUUCUCUCACUUUCCCACAUCUUCUACCUGAAAUGUUAACUCUGCUUCUCUCUGCAGGCGCUGACUGACCUGCUGAUUAUUUUCUGAAUUUGCUGAUCUUACUUCCGAUUUAGUGAAAAUGAACUGGUGUUCCAUGCCAGCAUGCCCACCUGAGCCCCAUCCGUUCCCCUGCGUUUGACCUCGGACGGGAGGUGCAGGAGACGUGUGCGAUGCUGCCAGGUUCAGGAGCAGUUGGAGCCACUGGAGUCCUGGGCUUUGCUCGCCCCAGUGCCCAGCUGACUCCACUGCCUGUAGACUCCCUUUGAGGGACUCUGCCUUUGUUAUGUAGAAACUUCCAGGGAUUCUUAUUUAUAUAUUUAUUUUCCAGUGGUUGCCAGCAGGGAAUUUAAUCUCAGUGUUGUUUAUGGUGUCCUGUACGUACUUUGGUAAUGAGUUUACUUUGGACUUUGAAAUUUCCAGCAUCCGUAGUACUUUUUUUUUCCCAUGAAUUAAGAAGCUGUGAGGUAAUUCCGAAGGCACGGGUCUCGAAGGGUGUGCGAUUCCUCUGCCACCUGCUGAUGUGUUCUAAGCUUCACUGGAUUUUGGG